UAUACACACACACACACUCAAUGGAAUAUCAUUCAGCCGUAAGGAAUAUGUCAGGAUGAUGAUGUUAGAUGCACAGAAUGACAGAAGUAUAAGGACUUGGGAGGUCAUCGAGUGUAAUCUUCUCAUAGGAGGGGGCUUGCCCCAGGUCACACGGUCAGUUAGAAGACAGCUCCCCUGACUCUUGAUCGAGGGGACACCCAGCCAAGACCUGCCCACUGAACUUCCUCCUUUCCAGAUGUGGAGAGUGAGGUAACAUGGGCAAAAAGAGAGAAUUUAACUUGCUGUGAGUGGUUUAAUAACAUGAGUCAGCCCUAUCCUACUCUGUUAUUUGCGAAUACCUAGUUCUCUGUUCCCAUGGCUUUCACCAUCUUUGUCCUUUGGCUUUCAGAGAUGAUAGAUGGAAUACAUGGCUGCACAGGUUCAUUCAAUAGAUAGUCUCAAGAGCUUUUCCAAUGCUGAGGAUGCUGGAUAAGUAAGACGGUGGUCCAUCAGAGCUGGGGCGAUUCACUUUCCCCGCCAAUCACAGUCCAAGGCAGCAAAGCUCAGGAACACCCAUGGAAGGCACGGCCCGCGGAGCAGGAGGAGAGGUGGUUUGCCAGUCUGGGGCAGGUCAGGGAUUGCAGAAGGAGACAGAUUGACAGAGACCCAGUAUUUAUUUAACAGAUGCUACUCUUUGGCUUAUUUGGUAAAGGAGUUGAAUUGAGUAGAUGUUUAUGUUUAAUCCACAGCCAUCAGGCAAGGACCAUGAGAAACAGGACUGCCCCAGGAUUCAGUCUCACAAAAUUCUGCCUCAGUUUGCAAUUAUACACCCCCUCUCUCCACCUUAUCUUUGUGCUGUUGUUUACUCUGCCAAUUAGUUGCACAUGGUUUAUUCGCAGCCCCAAAGUCUCUACCAAAGUCCUUCUCACCCCACUGGAGACACAGACGCGGGGAAGGGAGAGCAGGCUAAGCCUUGGGUGUGACUGGGCAUCAUUCAGGGACCAGAGUGGGUCUGGGGAUUCCCUUUCCGCGUGGGGGUUGGGGGAGAUCUUGAUGGGAAUGAAAGUUAAUCUGGGUCUCUUUGAAUACAAAAUCGGUCAGAAAAUGUCAAGUACCUGGUUUAGGCAGCGCUCUCUCCAGGCCGUCAUUUACCUGUAAACGGAGCACCAUUCAAGCCUUAAAUGUCAGUGUGUGCCUCUGCAAAUGUGGGAUCAGGUAACCCCUGAGUACUUUAGCCUGUGCUCUGACACCGAGGCCCCAAAUCCCUGACAUUAGCUGGGGGACAGCCAGACACCCUGCCUCGGAGUCAUUCCGGGAGAAAGGCCCCAGGCAUUGAAGCUUUGGGGAUUUUGGUCCUUUGGGGGUGAAUUUAAUGCAUCUCCUUCCUGAAGGUAGUUCCUAACUCUACCCGUAUAUGUUCAAAAGAGAACUCUUUAAACACGCAAUGAAAACUGAGUUUUAAUCCCCAAGCCUGGGUGUCUACCUGGCAGCUCCUCCUGAAUCUAGCCCAGCUGCUCUCAACAGCCUUCUCUUCUGUGAGCUAAUCCCUCUCUUGGCUCCUGUCUGUUAAUGGCUUUCCCCAUUCCACCGAGGCACCAUAUGCUUAACGAUCUCCUAUAAAGAGGAUGAAUUUCCCUGAGCUGUCCUCUAACUUUUGGAAUGUACCGUCCCCUCCAGAGUGUCAGGGGAAAAAAAAAAAAAAGCUCUAAAGCAGCAGGAGAGCUAAUGGACCUGUCUUUCCCAGAGAAAGGAAAACAAGGGUACCAACCAUUUGUGGCUCCUGAAUAAUCCCGCUGAGAGGUGAUCAGUCCCAGCCGCUAACGAGCUCAAAUUCGCCUAUUUAGUGAUUGGCCUUUGUUCUGUUCUCUGCUACCUGAACUGUCUUCCCCACUCCACCUUCAGACACACUGAACCAGAAGUUCAUCUAAGGGGCAAGAGGUGGUGAUUUGAGCCUCUAGUUGUUAUGAAUCACCAGAGUGAUGUCUUGAAAUUCCAGGCAAUAUAAAUCUGUGUCAUUUGGCUGAUCAUGAGCUGGUGUUGCCAGAAAUAUUUCCAGUGCAGAUUAUUUUAAAUACAAGAGUUCUUCAUUAUUGUCUGCUGUCCAUUCAGAUCAUGGAGUGAUAAUUAUUGCAUGUUAAGGGACUUUAACUGCAUUCAUAGAACAUGAGGUUUCCAUCUAAUAUUUCCAAAUCAUUGCUCUGGCUGAAGUAUACAUACAGUAAUAAGUCAGCUUUAGGAGACGUGGCUUACCCUCCAAGCCUUACAUGGCAGCAUUGGCACUGUAAUCUCAGCUUUGCUCCUGUCCAGAUACUGGUCUGAACACUAACAAGCCAGCCAAUUCAAACUAAGAUCUCAUUUGACUCUUUUUUCCCCUACUAAAUUAGCACAUUUCUCAGGCAUCUCUCCGAACAAUGGUUCUCAACCCUGGCUGCAAUUAGAAUCAUCUGGGGAGCUUUAAAAAAAAGUCAAUGCCCAGGCCCCACUCCAAAUCAAUUAAGAUAGAUUUUCUGGAGGUAGGCCUCAGGCGUGGGAAUUUUUAUACAGCUUCCCCGGUUAUAUGUGCAGCCAAGGAAGGCAAUCACUGUUUUAAACAUGACCAAAAUGGAUGAGUAUCAGCUUUGCUUGCAUAACAACCAUUAAUUUCAUAUGUGUAUACAAUUUCAUGUAGUCACACUUUAAGUCAAAUAAAGCCAACAGGAAGCUGUAUCUAUAUAGUGCGAGGUAGGUGGCACUUGUUCCAGUGCCACCUAGAUCAGCCAGAUCUUUGGAGCUGAUCAAACAAUAAUAUAGGCAAACAAAUCUGGCCAAAAUACGUUUUAGCAACCAGUUUCCUAUCUGACAUGUUUCUAGUAGAGCCAGGGCUGUGCGACUAUGGGAGAUAGUCAUGAUUCUUUGUUCUCUCCAUUGAGGGGGCUGGGAUGAAAGCCAAGCUGCAGUCCUGGGGCGGGGGAGACAACUGAGAUUCGGACCCAACCUCCUCAUGCUGACACUGGGACCACAGAAGACCGUGGCAUCUUCUUGAGAUUCCAUGGCAACCUGAGGCAUCCCUCUCAAGGAUGUUUUCCCUUUCCACCACAUCCACCCUUCCCACCGGCCCACGCAAACAAGCACCCUGGGCCAAUCCUGAAGGCAAUGCUGUUUAUGGGGCACGACCACGCUUCAGAAAAGAUAUCCUGGCUGCUAAGGCCUGAAGCUUCCCUGCUGAGGCAGGGCCUGCUUUUCCGAAUUUGUUUGCCAAGUUCUUGUGUCCCCAAAUGGUCCUUCACACGGAGAGGUCUGAUCUGCCAGCCUUAUAACAUCUUCGUUGCUUUAAAAGAAUGGAAGAAAUGUCUGUUUCUAAUUACCACGUUUACAGCUCCCUUUUCUCUCCUAUGGAAAACAGAAUCAGCUCCUUUUUGAAAACUUGCAAAUAUUUCACAUUUGUUUGGAAAGCAGAUUUCUUUCCAGGUUUUUGGAAAGCUGAAGUCACUGACACAUGGCUGCUGAGUGAUAUUGUUGCUGAGUGCAAACAUCACUUGUUCCCCGCACAGCCAAACCUGCCUUUUAGGCCAUGCUGAGGGCAGGGAGGGGUGAACCUGGUGUAGAACAGCCCCAAGGCUGCUGGGAGUGGUACUUGUGUCUGCAGAGACCUCAAAGAGAAGACCUGAACAAAGCAAAUGAUGGUCUGCCUUGAGCCCUGCCCCACCCCACCCCAGCCCUGUCCCAGGCACCAGAUGAUUCUAGCUCAGACCUCUGUUUAGCAUAACACUACAGAAAAACCUGGUGCCCUUUUGGGGAAUAAAAAUGGAACAUCAUGGGAGUUCCCUCUGUGACACCAGGAUCAGCGAUGUCUUUGGAGUACUGUGACCCAGGUUCGAUCCCCAGCUGGGCACAGUGGGUUAGGAUCCGGUGUUGCCACAGAUGCAGCAAAGGUCACAAUUGUGACUUGGAUCAGAUCCCUGGCCAGGGAA
rnacentral:lncRNA from 1 species